UUCCGGUUGAUCCCGCCAGAGGUCAUUGCUAUUGGGGUCCGAUUUAGCCAUGCUAGUUGCACGAGUUCAGACUCGUGGCGAAAAGCUCAGUAACACGUGGCCAAACUACCCUACAGAGAACGAUAACCUCGGGAAACUGAGGCUAAUAGUUCAUACGGGAGUCAUGCUGGAAUGCCGACUCCCCGAAACGCUCAGGCGCUGUAGGAUGUGGCUGCGGCCCGAUUAGGUAGACGGUGGGGUAACGGCCCACCGUGCCGAUAAUCGGUACGGGUUGUGAGAGCAAGAGCCCGGAGACGGAAUCUGAGACAAGAUUCCGGGCCCUACGGGGCGCAGCAGGCGCGAAACCUUUACACUGCACGAAAGUGCGAUAAGGGGACCCCAAGUGCGAGGGCAUAUAGUCCUCGCUUUUCUCGACUGUAAGGCGGUCGAGGAAUAAGAGCUGGGCAAGACCGGUGCCAGCGGCCGCGGUAAUACCGGCAGCUCAAGUGAUGACCCGAUAUUAUUGGGCCUAAAGCGUCCGUAGCCGGCCACGAAGGUUCAUCGGGAAAUCCGCCAGCUCAACUGGCGGGCGCCCGGUGAAAACCACGUGGCUUGGGACCGGAAGGCUCGAGGGGUACGUCCGGGGUAGGAGUGAAAUCCUGUAAUCCUGGACGGACCACCGAUGGCGAAAGCACCUCGAGAAGACGGAUCCGACGGUGAGGGACGAAAGCUAGGGUCUCGAACCGGAUUAGAUACCCGGGUAGUCCUAGCUGUAAACGAUGCUCGCUAGGUGUGACACAGGCUACGAGCCUGUGUUGUGCCGUAGGGAAGCCGAGAAGCGAGCCGCCUGGGAAGUACGUCCGCAAGGAUGAAACUUAAAGGAAUUGGCGGGGGAGCACUACAACCGGAGGAGCCUGCGGUUUAAUUGGAUUCAACGCCGGA
rnacentral:rRNA from 1 species